AGUGAAUAGAUACCCCGGUAGUCCCAGCUGUAAACGAUGCGCGUUAGGUGUAUCGGUGACCACGAGUCACCGAGGUGCCGAAAGAGAAAUCGUGAAACGUGCCGCCUGGGAAGUACGGUCGCAAGGCUGAAACUUAAAGGAAUUGGCGGGGGAGCACCACAACAGGUGGAGCCUGCGGUUUAAUCGGACUCAACGCCGGGAAGCUCACCGGAUAAGACAGCUGAAUGAUAGCCGGGUUGAAGACUCUGCUUGACUAGCUGAGAGGAGGUGCAUGGCCGUCGUCAGUUCGUACUGUGAAGCAUCCUGUUAAGUCAGGCAACGAGCGAGACCCACGCCAACAGUUGCCAGCAUGUCCUCCGGGAUGGUGGGGACACUGUUGGGACCGCCUCUGCUAAAGAGGAGGAAGGAAUGGGCAACGGUAGGUCAGCAUGCCCCGAAUUAUCCGGGCUACACGCGGGCUACAAUGGUCAGGACAAUGGGUAUCAACACCGAAAGGUGAAGGCAAUCUCCUAAACCUGUCC
rnacentral:rRNA from 1 species